rnacentral:snoRNA from 1 species
AGUCUCUGACAGUGUAAGAGUAGUGGAUGGAAGGAAUUUCUGAAAAUUUUUAUUCUGAGACU